rnacentral:rRNA from 1 species
UACGUAGGGUGCGAGCGUUAAUCGGAAUUACUGGGCGUAAAGCGUGCGCAGGCGGUUCGUCGUGUCCGAUGUGAAAGCCCCGGGCUCAACCUGGGAAUGGCAUUGGAAACUGGCGGACUCGAGUGUGGCAGAGGGGGGUGGAAUUCCGCGUGUAGCAGUGAAAUUCGUAGAGAUGCGGAGGAACACCGAUGGCGAAGGCAGCCCCCUGGGCUAACACUGACGCUCAGGCACGAAAGCGUGGGGAGCAAACAGG